rnacentral:rRNA from 1 species
GAUGAACGCUGGCGGCGUGCCUAAUACAUGCAAGUCGAGCGAACAGACGAGGAGCUUGCUCCUCUGACGUAGCGGCGGACGGGUGAGUAACACGUGGAUAACCUACCUAUAAGACUGGGAUAACUUCGGGAAACCGGAGCUAAUACCGGAGAAUAUAUUGAACCGCAUGGUUCAAUAGUGAAAGACGGUUUUGCUGUCACUUAUAGAUGGAUCCGCGCCGCAUUAGCUAGUUGGUAAGGUAACGGCUUACCAAGGCAACGAUGCGUAGCCGACCUGAGAGGGUGAUCGGCCACACUGGAACUGAGACACGGUCCAGACUCCUACGGGAGGCAGCAGUAGGGAAUCUUCCGCAAUGGGCGAAAGCCUGACGGAGCAACGCCGCGUGAGUGAUGAAGGUCUUCGGAUCGUAAAACUCUGUUAUUAGGGAAGAACAAAUGUGUAAGUAACUAUGCACGUCUUGACGGUACCUAAUCAGAAAGCCACGGCUAACUACGUG